rnacentral:tRNA from 1 species
GCCCCUGUGUCCCAACUGGCAGAGGAAGCCGCCUUAAAAGCGGCCAGGUGCGGGUUCGAGUCCCGCCGGGGGCA